GCGCUCGUAGCUCAGCUGGAUAGAGCAACGGCCUUCUAAGCCGUGGGUCGCAGGUUCGAGUCCUGCCGGGCGCG
rfam:Thiorhodococcus drewsii AZ1 ctg174, whole genome shotgun sequence.